rnacentral:sRNA from 1 species
UUAAAGUUAAAGAUUUAGAAACUAAUGAAACGACAACAUAUGAAUCUGAUUUUGUAUUUAUUGGUGCUG